rnacentral:lncRNA from 1 species
GAUUGUUAGAAAUGGUAUUAGAGAUACACUUGGCCUAUAGUUAAUAUGGACUAGAGGACAUUGUAUCAUAAGCUUAUUUUAUGCCGACCACAGGCUAAUUGCGAGAAUCUUGGACUUCAAUUGAGUAGUAUAUGAAGACUCAUGCUAGCAUACGUUUAAUCCGAUCUUGGGGAUUUAUAUAUAGUCGAGAAAACCUAAAAAAUACAUUGUAUCUAGCCUUUUUCAAUGAGAUCGUGGAUUGUGACUGCGAUAAUGUUCAUAAAACAUAAAGAGUAGCACACUAAAUCUUGCAUAGCGAAAAAAUGAUAAAACCCAAUUUAUCAAUUGACUAAUAUGCAAUUAGAAUUUGCCUCAUUGGAUGAGAAUCAACCAAGAAGUGCACAAUUGAUAGAUUGGACUAGAGGGUGAAGGAGGAAGAGUGGGAGAUGUUGGCGAUUCUCUAGUUUUAAUGAUUUUUGAGAUGCUAUAUAAUGUAUUUAGGUUGUUUGUAGUAUUGAUUUUGAGA